AGUUGGGGUUAUCGUGGUAAGUUUUCUGCUUGAACUACAUAUUUAAGCAAUUUUUUUUUUGACAUUGGUGUCAGAUAUUGGGUCUGACAUUUUACUUUUUUCAUAACAUGUUGAAUAUUUUGGAUUUAUGCAUGCAAUAAAAGUGUAGACAUAAUUCUGUUUGUAUAUAAUGAUGCAUGAAUGCCUUGGACAUUUAUAUAUAAUUCAUGCAUAUGCUUAAUUAUGGGCAUGCUUCUUAUGGUACUGGCCCAGGGGCACUUCCCAUGAACAAGAGAACUUUUUCUAAGUUCCAACUUGAAGUUGUUCUUGCACAUGCAAAUGAAAAUGUAAAAAUGUUGGGUUGAUAUUUUGCUA
rnacentral:misc_RNA from 1 species